rnacentral:rRNA from 1 species
AACGAACGCUGGCGGCAGGCUUAACACAUGCAAGUCGAACGCAUCCUUCGGGGUGAGUGGCAGACGGGUGAGUAACGCGUGGGAACGUGCCCUUCAGUUCGGGAUAACCCAGGGAAACUUGGGCUAAUACCGGAUACGUGCGAGAGCAGAAAGAUUUAUCGCUGAAGGAUCGGCCCGCGUCUGAUUAGCUAGUUGGUGGGGUAAUGGCCCACCAAGGCGACGAUCAGUAGAUGGUCUGGGAGGAUGAUCAGCCACAGUGGGACAGAGACACGGCCCAAACUCCUACGGGAGGCAGCAGUGGGGAAGAUUGGACAAUGGGCGCAAGCCUGAUCCAGCCAUGCCGCGUGAGUGAUGAAGGCCUUAGGGUUGUAAAGCUCUUUCGUCCGGGACGAUAAUGACGGUACCGGAAGAAGAAGCCCCGGCUAACUUCGUGCCAGCCGCCGCGGUAA